rnacentral:rRNA from 1 species
UACGUAGGGACCAAGCGUUGUUCGGAUUUACUGGGCGUAAAGGGCGCGUAGGCGGCAAUUCAAGUCAGCUGUGAAAUCUCCGGGCUUAACUCGGAACGGUCAGCUGAUACUGCUUUGCUAGAGUGCAGAAGGGGCAAUCGGAAUUCUUGGUGUAGCGGUGAAAUGCGUAGAUAUCAAGAGGAACACCUGCGGCGAAGGCGGGUUGCUGGGCCGACACUGACGCUGAGGCGCGAAAGCUAGGGGAGCGAACGGG